AAUCAACGCUGGCGGCGUGCCUAACACAUGCAAGUCGAACGCGAAAGGGGCUUCGGUCCUGAGUAGAGUGGCGUCCGGGUGAGUAACGCGUGGGUAAUCUACCCUUGGGUGGGGAAUAACCAGUCGAAAGAUUGGCUAAUACCGCAUAAUGCAGCGGCUCGACAUCGAGACAGUUGUUAAAGCGGGGGAUCGCAAGACCUCGCGCCUAAAGAGGAGCCUGCGGCGGAUUAGCAGUUGGUGAGGUAAUGGCUCACCAAGGCAUCGAUCCGUAGCCGGCCUGAGAGGGCGGUCGGCCACACUGACACUGACAUACGGGUCAGACUCCUACGGAGGCAGCAGUCGGAAUUUUGGGCAAUGGGCGAAAGCCUGACCCAGCAACGCCGCGUGAAGGAUGAAAUCCCUCGGGAUGUAAACUUCGCAAGAACAGGAAGAA
rnacentral:rRNA from 1 species